GCCGGAACAUCAACGAAGAAGGUUCGGAAACCCUCAAAACGGUCUAAACCAUCUCCUCUACCGCCGCAGUAUGAGUUCACUCCAAGGACAACAGAGCCUCCACCUCGUGGCAACCGCAGAGCUGGACCAACGGUGAGUGACUACCCACCUCCGAGACAGCUGUUCGAGGAGUCUACGCCGAGGACCCAACCUCGAGCUGCUUCAACGCCUCUUUCUCAACCAGC
rnacentral:lncRNA from 1 species